rnacentral:lncRNA from 1 species
AACUAUAACGCCACCAAAUGCCUCUUCUUUGUCAGAGGCCAAUCAAAUCUCCAUAAUCUUCUUCCUUUUAUUAUUAUAUUAACUGGAAAAAUGAUAAAGUGAACUUAUAACUUAUAACACUAAACUUAUAACAACAUCUACUUCCAUAAUAGGCAAGCAAAUGAAGGGCCCAGUGCCAUUAUUUUCUUUCUUUAUUCUCUCCUCUUUCUUUUUAAAUUGCUAAGUUGAAGAAGUUCCAAAGAUGAGGAAUUAUACACGUUUAACCACUUUCUCAAUGCAGAAAGCCUGCGUCUGGCAGUUGCUGGAAGGUAGUCACCAUUUUCUGCUCACCCUUUCUACCAGCACACAUGGCCCUGCCCCAUGUGCCUUUGCUGAGAACAGGGAACUGCUAAAUAAAUGCAUGCUGAGCAAAUGCAACCCAAACAAAUGAAAUCUGAAUAAAUGCAUCCUUAACAGAUCCAUCCUGGGCAAGUGCAACCUGAACAAAUGCAUCCGGAACAGAUGCAUCCCAAACAGUUGCAUCCUGAAUAAAUGCAUCCUUAACAAAUGCACCUGAACAAAUGCACCUUGAAUAAAUGCAUCCUGAACAAAUGCAGCCUGAAUAAUUGCAUCUUGAUUUUACAAUCAAAAUUCCACAGUGUUGUUUAUUUUGUUUGUUUGCUUAUUUUUUCUUAAGGAAUCACUAUCAUAUUUCAUAGUAAGCAUAUUUUUUUCCAAACAUGUUCUUAAAUAAUGAAGAUAAAAAUGCACAUCUGAAACCAUUUUAAGGAUUCAGCCAGCUCCUCUGCUUCAGUCAUGAGGGGGCAAUAAGAACAAAAAGCUGCUCCAGGCAUUUAGUAGUAGAAAAUUAAAGUUCCUCUAAAUUAGGUGGCUAUAUUCUCUCCCAGUCCAAUUACUAGCUUUAAUAUUUGUCAAUAAAAUACCAAAUAAAAGAUUAGUCUCCAGAUAAGGCAGCUGUUGCCAUUUGGACCCUGUGAUACUUCACAUUCUCAAACUGUGGUGUGGAAGCUGCUGAUUACAGCUUCAUAUCACUGACAGGUGCUGUAAGGCCCAAAUCUUAUGGACUUUUCUCUGGAAAGAAAAAUUAUAAUAAAAGAACAGAACAUAUACAUCAUAACAAGCUAAGAUUACACAAGAUGCUGUUUUAGGGACUUGUCACAUUUGAACUUGAGUUUUGGAACAUUCUUUGUAAUGAAUAAAAGUCACAGUGUAGGUAUAUGAUAGCUAGAAGUCAUUCUGGUUUGAGGCAGUAACUAAACUGCUUGCCAGAGCCUCACACAAUUCCUCCUAACUAGAUCACAUCUUGUUCCAUAGCAGCUGCUUCUCAUCACUUCCCUGCACAGAAGGGCAGCGGAUUACACGCCUUCGCUAUGGAGACCUAUGUAUCUCCUUGACAAUGUGCAGGAAAGCCCACCAUGUGGAAAAGACAAGUUUGCUCCUUUCCUUUGAAGAUAGAUAUAUGCUAAACUUACAGGAUCAUUAGGAUACCCUGUGAAAGAAUAGAUUUUCUUUAAGACUUUACUUCCCCUAAAGAAAAAAAAAA